AUGCUCGCUUCGGCAGCACAUAUACUAAAAUUGGAACGAUACAGAGAAGAUUAGCAUGGUCCCUCCGCAAGGAUGACAUGCAAAUUCGUGAAGCGUUAAAAAAAAAA